GCCGGAUCCCUCCCGCACCCCAUCCCUCGGCAGGCAGGCAGCUCGGCUCUGCCGGGGCUCUGUCAGCCCCUCCAGCUGGCCAACGCAAUUGAGACAAAAGCUGCAAUCACGCUCAUUUCCAACAAAGCCAUAAAGGCGACGGGAGCCACUCACUCUGCACUCUCUUCCUGCUCCUCCUCUUUCUUAUCCUCUUCUUUCCUCUUUUCCUCUUUCUUCUCCUUCUCUUUUUUCUUCUCCUUCUCUUUCUUCCUCUUCUCUUCCUUCUUCCUCUUUUCCUCUUUCUUCCUCUUCUCCUCUUUCUCUUUCUUCCUGUCCUCCUCUUUCUUCCUGUUCUCCUCUUUCUUCCUCUCUUCCUCUAUCUUCCUUUUCUCCUCCUCUUUCUUCCUCUCCUCUUCCUCUUUUUUACUCUCCUCCUCCUUCUUCUUCCUCUCCUCCUCCUCCUUUUUCUUGCCCUCUUCCUCCUUUUUUCUGUCCUCCUCCUCUUUCUUCCUCUCCUCUUCCUCCUUUUUCCUGUCCUCUUCCUCCUCUUGCUUCCUCUCCCCUUCCUCCCUCUCCUCCUCCUCUUUCUUCCUUUCCUCCUCCUCCUCCUCUUGCUUCCUCUCCUCUUCCUUCUUCUUCCUCUCCUCUUCCUCCUCAUUUUUCUUGCCCUCUUCCUCUUUUUUACUGUCCUCCUCCAUCUUCCUCUCCUCUUCCUCCUUUUUCCUGUCUUCCUCCUCUUGCUUCAUCUCUUCUUCUUCUUCUUUCUUCCUCUUGUCUUCCUCCUCUUUCUUCCUCUCUUCCUCCUCCUCUUUCUUCUCCUCCUCCUCCUUUUCCUCUUCCCCCUUGGUCACGUUUGGGGAGCCCAAGCAGAGUCUGGAAAGGAGAAGCUGGUUAGGGAAUUGCUCUCAUGGCUCUGCCACUGCCUGCCCUGACCAGAAUCAAGACACCAGAAGAAAAAGACAUUUGAUCAAGCAGCUUUUGGAUCCUACUGGGGCAUGCCCCCCAUUUUGGAAACAGGCAGCUCCACCGCCAGCACUUGCAAGGAUGGAUGCCCAGGGACAGGCUUGUCCCCUCCCAUGGCCACCACACUGGGGACUGGAGAACACACAGACCUGCCCACCAACAGCAUCUCCCUUCCCCUACCUGUUCUCCUCUUCCUGAGGUUCUUCCUGUAUGGUGGGGAGGGAAUGAGCAUCUGCCUCCAGCUCAGCCCUGUGAGCCCAGGCCGCCACCUCUUCGUUAAUCUGGCCGUCAUCAAUCUCUUUCAGGACGAGAUGAGUUUCCUCCUGUUCCCCAGGGGCUACAUGAACUGAAACAGGAAUGAGGAAAGGGAGGUGAUGGAGUGACAGUAGCACAUUCUCAAGAGGUCAGGUUAGGGCAGAUCCCAGGUUUCCUUGGCUCGAUGGGGCAGUGCUGAAGCAGCUCUCAGCCUGCAGAGCUGGGCAGCCCUGCUGCCCCUGAGCUGUGCUGCACGGGUG
rnacentral:lncRNA from 1 species